rnacentral:tRNA from 1 species
AGGGUUGUAGUUAAAAAUAACAUUUAGCUUGCAUCUAAAAAGUACCUCACAGGUCUUCCUUA